rnacentral:rRNA from 1 species
UGCAGUCGAGCGGUAGCACAGAGAGCUUGCUCUCGGGUGACGAGCGGCGGACGGGUGAGUAAUGUCUGGGAAACUGCCUGAUGGAGGGGGAUAACUACUGGAAACGGUAGCUAAUACCGCAUAACGUCGCAAGACCAAAGUGGGGGACCUUCGGGCCUCAUGCCAUCAGAUGUGCCCAGAUGGGAUUAGCUAGUAGGUGGGGUAACGGCUCACCUAGGCGACGAUCCCUAGCUGGUCUGAGAGGAUGACCAGCCACACUGGAACUGAGACACGGUCCAGACUCCUACGGGAGGCAGCAGUGGGGAAUAUUGCACAAUGGGCGCAAGCCUGAUGCAGCCAUGCCGCGUGUGUGAAGAAGGCCUUCGGGUUGUAAAGCACUUUCAGCGGGGAGGAAGGCGUUGAGGUUAAUAACCUUGUCGAUUGACGUUACCCGCAGAAGAAGCACCGGCUAACUCCGUGCCAGCAGCCGCGGUAAUACGGAGGGUGCAAGCGUUAAUCGGAAUUACUGGGCGUAAAGCGCACGCAGGCGGUCUGUCAAGUCGGAUGUGAAAUCCCCGGGCUCAACCUGGGAACUGCAUUCGAAACUGGCAGGCUAGAGUCUUGUAGAGGGGGGUAGAAUUCCAGGUGUAGCGGUGAAAUGCGUAGAGAUCUGGAGGAAUACCGGUGGCGAAGGCGGCCCCCUGGACAAAGACUGACGCUCAGGUGCGAAAGCGUGGGGAGCAAACAGGAUU